rnacentral:sRNA from 1 species
UAGACUAUACAUUAUACACUGUAUAGCCA